GUAGAAGAGCAGAGUGAAACUAUCCCUCUGGUGCUUAGUCCUGUCUUCAUUCAUGACUCCCUGACUCACUCUUAUGUCACAGUUUUCCCCAGUCCCCUCCCAGGCUGAGGGAGCAGCACGUGGAGAUGUACUGAGGACCAAGAUGUUUCUACUUUGUUUGCAAAAAGAAAUUCAGGAAGGCAUUCUGGAAAACAGAGAAUUAUAUGUCUGAUCACCAAGAGAUGAGGAUGAAAAAGAAAACAGGGUUUACCAGAGAACCUGUGGUCCUGAAACCUUCACUAAAUGCUUUAUCUACAGAGUCCCAUAAGAUAUGCCCUUGAGAAAAAGAAGGGAAUUUAAAGUUUCUGGCAUACAGUAAGCAUACAUGAGCUCAUGGAUUCAUGAAUCAGAUUCUGCUAAAGUCUAAGAGGAUACUGCCCGGAUGUUGGAGUCAAGUUCAUGAACUUAGUCCCAGCAGAGUUUCCUUUGUGUGAAUGAACCUCCUUCUUUGUGUGACAUCUGGAGAAAUUUACUAAUUGAGGACUUUGAAUAACUGGGCUGCAACAGAGGAAAGGAUGUUAUGUGUUGACCUAUAUUGUCUCAAGUGUUUAAUUUACAAUUAUAUUUGAGUGGGAAUAUCAUUUAUUAAAAAUACUUAUCUAUUAAAAUGCUUAUAUUUUUAAUUAAUUUCCAAUUAAUAAUAAAGAUAAUAUCUAUGCAAAGUAUUUUAAGAAAUUAUAUUUACUGCUAAAUUUUGAAAUGAUAAAACAUCGUGAAUUUGA